GACGAACCCUGGCGGCGUGCUUAACACAUGCAAGUCGAACGGUGAAGCGCCUUCCUUUUUGGUGGGUGUGGAUGAGUGGCGAACGGGUGAGUAACACGUGAGUAACCUGCCCCCUUCUUCUGGAUAACCGCAUGAAAGUGUGGCUAAUACGGGAUAUUCUGGGUCUGUCGCAUGAUGGGUCUGGGAAAGAUAUUGUUUCGGUGGGGGAUGGGCUCGCGGCCUAUCAGCUUGUUGGUGGGGUGAUGGCCUACCAAGGCGGUGACGGGUAGCCGGCCUGAGAGGGUGGACGGUCACACUGGGACUGAGACACGGCCCAGACUCCUACGGGAGGCAGCAGUGGGGAAUAUUGCACAAUGGGCGCAAGCCUGAUGCAGCGACGCCGCGUGAGGGAUGGAGGCCUUCGGGUUGUGAACCUCUUUCGCCAGUGAAGCAGGCCUGCCUCGUUUGUGGGUGGGUUGACGGUAGCUGGAUAAGAAGCGCCGGCUAACUACGUG
rnacentral:rRNA from 1 species